GGAGAGGUGGCAGAGCGGCCGAAUGCACCGCCUUGCUAAGGCGGCGUGGGGGCAACCUCACCGAGGGUUCAAAUCCCUCCCUCUCCG
rnacentral:tRNA from 1 species